GGCAACGUCCAUACCACCCUGAAUACACCAGUUCUCGUCUGAUCACUGAAGUUAAGCAGCGUCGGGCGCGGUUAGUACUUGGAUGGGUGACCGCUUGGGAACACCGCGUGCCGUUGCCU
rfam:Tribolium castaneum strain Georgia GA2 unplaced genomic scaffold scaffold_seqid1623, whole genome shotgun sequence.